rnacentral:rRNA from 1 species
GUAAACGAUGGGUGUUAAACGUCGGGAUUUAAUCUCGGUGUUGUAGUUAACACAUUAAACACCCUGCCUGGGUAGUACAUUCGCAAGAAUGAAACUCAAACGGAAUUGACGGGGACCCGCACAAGUGGUGGAGCAUGUUGUUUAAUUCGACGAUACACGUAGAACCUUACCUAGACUUGACAUCCUUGGCGAAGUUAUAGAAAUAUAAUGGAGGUUAACCGAGAGACAGGUGGUGCAUGGUUGUCGUCAGCUCGUGUCGUGAGAUGUUGGGUUAAGUCCCGCAACGAGCGCAACCCUUAUCGUUAGUUAUUUUGUCUAACGAGACUGCCAACGCAAGUUGGAGGAAGGUGGGGAUGACGUCAAAUCAUCAUGCCCCUUAUGUCUAGGGCCACAAACGUGCUACAAUGGUCGGUACAAACAGUCGCUAAUUCGUAAGAUAGAGCUAAUCUGUAAAGCCGAUCUCAGUUCGGAUAGAGGGCUGAAAUUCGCCCUCUUGAAGUUGGAAUCACUAGUAAUCGCGAAUCAGCCAUGUCGCGGUGAAUACGUUCUCGGGUCUUGUAC